AUUGAACGCUGGCGGCAGGCUUAACACAUGCAAGUCGAGCGAGCGGCGGACGGGUGAGUAAUGUCUGGGAAACUGCCUGAUGGAGGGGGAUAACUACUGGAAACAGUAGCUAAUACCGCAUACCAUCAGAUGUGCCCAGAUGGGAUUAGCUAGUGGGUGGGGUAAUGGGUCAACUAGGCGACGAUCCCUAGCUGGUCUGAGAGGAUGACCUGUCACACGGGAACUGAGAGACGGUCAAGAAUACUACGGGAGGCAGAAGUGGGGAAUAUUGCACAAUGGGCGCAAGGCGGAGGCAGCAAUGGCGCGUGGAUGAAGAAGGCUUUCGGGUUGGAAAGUACUUUCAGCGGGGAGGCGUUACCCGCAGAAGAAGCACCGGCUAACUCCGGGCCAGCAGCCGCGGUAAUUC
rnacentral:rRNA from 1 species